UCUCCGUUGGUGAACCAGCGGAGGGAUCAUUACCGAGUUUACAACUCCCAAACCCCAUGUGAACCUUACCAAAUGUUGCUUCGGCGGGAUGCCCCGGGCGCGGGCCGCAAGGCCUCAGCCCCGGAACCAGGCGCCCGCCGGAGGCCCAAACCAAACUCUUGUUUUUGUAGAAUCUUCUGAGUGGCCUUUUAGGCAAAAAAUGAAUCAAAACUUUCAACAACGGAUCUCUUGGUUCUGGCAUCGACGAAGAACGCAGC
rnacentral:misc_RNA from 1 species